rnacentral:lncRNA from 1 species
ACCCAGCCAACAUGCAGGAACAUGACUACUGACAAACCCAAGGGGCUGGGAUCACAGGUGUGUACCACCUUGGCUAACUGACUGGCACUCCUAGACCAUCAAUACCCUCCGUCCAAGAAUGCAGCCAAAAGUAUAGCUUCAGCCGGAUCAUAGAGCUCCACGGCACCAGUGCUACUGGAAAGCAGGCAUUCUGGGUAUAGUUUAUUGGGCGUGUACUGAAGUAUCGUCUCUACAGGUAAAGACUUAGUUCACCAGGAAGUUGAGAAGGCGCUGUUUCAGAUAGAGGAUAAUGGCGCUCAGGGUUUGUCAGACAGUAGGCAUGUAUUGAAUUGAGUUGUGAAUAUCCCUUUUACUUUUGCCUGGAAAGGAGUCACUCAACAAGUUCUCCCGCACCUCCCUACUUCUACCCUGUCCCCUGCCACAUGCCACAUGCUCUGUCUAGAAUUCUUUAGCUACUUUCUUCCUGUCGCAGGAUAAAGUCAAGACUCUAGCCUGGCUUGGUGUACAGAAUGAUGAAUCUCCUUUCUUCUCCCCGGGUCAGAGAAUAAUAACUCCACCAUCAUAGACUGUGUGAAUUGAAGGAAACAUUGUCCCCAGCAGCGCCUCUCAGUGGCGAGUCCUUUGCACAGGGCAGUGUGGCUCCUACUGAUCCCCAGGUUUUUGUGUCAGUGUUUCUUCAGCUAGAGACUUGUUUUACCUGGGACUCUAGCCUUGGGAAUACCUGAUUCUAUCCUGUCAUCUUUAGUCCUUCCUACGUAUUCCUCCUGUUAGGCUGGGGGUGGGGUGGGGUUGUUCUUUCUUCUUAAUUCUAAAGACUUUUGAGUCGUGCUCUACUCAGAGUCCCAGAGUUGGUUAUGAAGUCCAAUCUCCUACCCGGAUGUGGGAAGCCAUCCCCGCGCUGUCUUCCCGGGGGCCAUUAGCUUCUACUUGAGUGCUGUGAAUGCUGAUGAGCCAUACUUAGGAUGCUUGUUCCCAUUUUUCAACAGCUCUAAUUAAAUAAUGAAAACAUGCAAUUAUCUUUUUAGCCAUGAGUGUCUUGCCUUUUUAAUAAAAAUUUCAGUUCUUUCACAAGAACAAAGUAACUGCUCGAAAGGCAUUGAUUAUAUUUAUGCCUUAAAUGAUAAUUUCAUGACAUUAGUAGCUGAACUACUUUUCCCAUUUCCUUCUAACUAUACCAUUUGCUGGAGGAGAUGGCUUGCAUCAGAAGGCUUGCGAUUAUGGGAUGACAUCUAGAGUGGACUUUAGCACAAAGUCAAUAAAGAAAACCGUGACAACUGAGGUUGGUGUCUCUUGGUAUGUCACCCAACUUUGCUCAGGAGAAAUUUGGAGGCAAUACAUGGGGAGAACAUCACAUGACGUGAAGACAGAGCCUAGUGUGAUGCUUGCACAAGCCAAGGAAUGCCAGAGAUUGUGAGCAAGUGGCCCGAAGCAGGCAAGACCAGGGGAAGGAUCUCUCUCAGACCCUUAGAAAGGAGCAAACUUAUUGACAUCUUUACUUUGGACUUGAAAUCUCCAGAAAUUUGAGGCAAUGACUAAAUAUGUGUGCUUAGUAUUUGAGACAGAGAACAUGAGAGCAAUAUUCUGAUUUUGAGGGAUACUAGCCAUUAGCCCACAAUAUCCCAACAAUAUAUUGAAAGAUUCUGACCAUGAUACAGACCGCUGCUUUAAGGAGUGAUUUAGAAUGGUAAAAAAGGGGCUGGAGAGAUGGCUGAGUGGUUAAGAGCACUGACUGCUCUUCCAGAGGUCCUGAGUUCAAUUCCCAGCUAUCACAUGGUGGGUCACAGCUGAAAUGGGAUCUGAUGUCCUCUUCUGAUGGGUUUGAGAAUGCCUAUAGUGUGCUUGUAUACAUAAAAUAAAUAGUUCUUUUUUAAAAGAAAGGUUAAAAAAUAGUUACUAAAAUUUCCAAUGAUAAAGAUGU